rnacentral:rRNA from 1 species
CCCAGACUCCUACGGGAGGCAGCAGUGAGGAAUAUUGGUCAAUGGGCGAGAGCCUGAACCAGCCAAGUCGCGUGAAGGAUGACGGCCCUACGGGUUGUAAACUUCUUUUGUCAGGGAGCAAAGAGGCCUCGUGAGGUCAAAAGCGAGAGUACCCGAAGAAAAAGCAUCGGCUAACUCCGUGCCAGCAGCCGCGGUAAUACGGAGGAUGCGAGCGUUAUCCGGAUUUAUUGGGUUUAAAGGGUGCGUAGGCGGGACGGUAAGUCAGCGGUAAAAAUGCGGAGCUCAACUCCGUCGAGCCGUUGAAACUGGCUGUCUUGAGAUGUCGAGAGGUAUGCGGAAUGCGCAGUGUAGCGGUGAAAUGCUUAGAUAUUGCGCAGAACUCCGAUUGCGAAGGCAGCAUACCGGCGGCGAUCUGACGCUGAGGCACGAAAGCGUGGGUAUCGAACAGGAUUAGAUACCCUCGUA